AUACGUAGGGGGCGAGCGUUGUCCGGAAUGAUUGGGCGUAAAGGGCGCGUAGGCGGCCCGGUAAGUCUGGAGUGAAAGUCCUGCUUUUAAGGUGGGAAUUGCUUUGGAUACUGUCGGGCUUGAGUGCAGGAGAGGUAAGUGGAAUUCCCAGUGUAGCGGUGAAAUGCGUAGAGAUUGGGAGGAACACCAGUGGCGAAGGCGAAUUACUGGACUGUAACUGACGCUGACGCGCGAAAGUGUGGGGAGCAAACAGGAGUAGAUACCCUGGUAGUCCACACUGUAAACGAUGAAUGCUAGGUGUAGGGGGUAUCGACCCCUUCUGUGCCGCAGUAAACACAAUAAGCAUUCCGCCUGGGGAGUACGGCCGCAAGGUUGAAACUCAAAGGAAUUGACGGGG
rnacentral:rRNA from 1 species